ensembl:snRNA U1 U1 spliceosomal RNA
AUACUUAUGUGGCAGAAGAGAUACCACGAUCGCAAAGGUGGUUCCCAGGGUGAGGCUUAUGCAUUACACUAUGCAUGUGCUGACCCCUGAGAUUUCCCCAAAUUCUGGAAACUCAACUGCAUCAUUUGUGGUAGUGGGGGACUGCAUUCAUGCUUUCCUUUG